rnacentral:lncRNA from 1 species
AUGGAUAUCUACUCAGGAUUAGCCUAGAACAGCCCUCUUUGGUAUAGAUUUUUUUUUUCUAAAAAAAAUCAGCCUGCGUAUCUGAACGAAGUCUGGAUCACGAUCAAUUUUUUGAUCUUUUUCUUGAUCUUUUUUUUUCUCUUCUUCUCUUGCUUUUCUUUCUUUGAUUAUGAAGCAACCAAGGUAUGAAAACUAGCAAGCAAAGGGGUGCCCAAACACCUUUUGGGCGUGGAGAAGUGAAAUGCCCAAACUCCUUGGGCAUUG